rnacentral:rRNA from 1 species
GACAGAGGAUGCAAGCGUUAUCCGGAAUGAUUGGGCGUAAAGCGUCUAUAGGUGGCUUUUCAAGUCCUCCGUCAAAUCCCAGGGCUCAACCCUGGACAGGUGGUGGAAACUACCAAGCUGGAGUAUGGUAGGGGUAGAGGGCUCGUAGAGCCGGUGGAGCGGUGAAAUGCGUAGAGAUCGGAAAGAACACCAAUGGCGAAAGCACUUUGCUGGGCUGACACUGACACUGAGAGACGAAAGCUAGGGUAGCAAACGGG